rnacentral:ncRNA from 1 species
UAUAAAGUUCUUUCAGCUUAAGCUUUUUUAUGUAAAAAUAAUUUAUAUGUAAAUCUUGGUCGGAAUUGCAUUUAUUUUUAAAGAGGGUAAAGCUAUACAAUAAGGGUCGCAAUAAGUAGGGUUAUUUAUUUAAUAGGUUAAGAAACAGAAUAAUUUUUAGUACAAACUAAAUCUGUGCCAGCAGUUGCGGUUAGACUGAUUGUGCGAUAAAAUAGGGAUCGGGUUCAGAUAAGGAUAUUCUUGUUGGUCAAGCAAAAAUAUUUAUUGGGUGAAAUUUUAAGUGUUUUUAAGGUUGAAGGUGGUUUUGUAUCUGAAAAAAUUUUUUUUAUAGACUAGGAUUAGAUACCCUAUUAUAGGAAUUGUAGAUUUAUCCAGGUCAGUAGUAGCUAUGUUCUUGAAAAUUAAGAGAGAUGGCGGUAUUUUAGUCUAUUCAGAGGAACCUGUCCUGUAAUUGAUGAACCACGAUUGAUUCUACUUAUUCUAGAAAUUUGCAUAUCGCCGUAGGUUGAAUAUUUUUAAAGAAUUUAGAAUAUUCAAAAUUUUUUGAGAAAGGAAUUCAGGUCAAGGUGUAGUUUAUGGGUAAGAAGAGAUGGGUUACAAUAAAUUUAUUUAAAUGGAUCUUUUUUUGUAAUGAAAAGGUGAAAAUGGAUUUGAGGGUAAUUUCUUAUAGUUAUGGGAGAUGAUUUUAGCUCUAAAAUAUGUACAUAUCGCCCGUCGCUUUCAUUACAAAGUGAAAUAAGUCGUAACAUAGUAGAUGUACUGGAAAGUGUCUCUAGAAAGAC